CAGUAGCCGCGGGAAAACGAAGGGUGCAAGCGUUAAUCGGAUUUACUGGGCGUAAAGCGUGCGUAGGCGGCUUUUUAAGUCGGAUGUGAAAUCCCUGAGCUUAACUUAGGAAUUGCAUUCGAUACUGGGAAGCUAGAGUAUGGGAGAGGAUGGUAGAAUUCCAGGUGUAGCGGUGAAAUGCGUAGAGAUCUGGAGGAAUACCGGUGGCGAAGGCGGCCCCCUGGACAAAGACUGACGCUCAGGUGCGAAAGCGUGGGGAGCAAACAGGAUUAGAUACCCCGGUAGUCCCUGUCUCUUAUAC
rnacentral:rRNA from 1 species